rnacentral:rRNA from 1 species
UACGUAGGUGGCAAGCGUUGUCCGGAAUUAUUGGGCGUAAAGCGCGCGCAGGCGGUCCUUUAAGUCUGAUGUGAAAGCCCACGGCUCAACCGUGGAGGGUCAUUGGAAACUGGGGGACUUGAGUGCAGAAGAGAAGAGCGGAAUUCCACGUGUAGCGGUGAAAUGCGUAGAGAUGUGGAGGAACACCAGUGGCGAAGGCGGCUCUUUGGUCUGUAACUGACGCUGAGGCGCGAAAGCGUGGGGAGCGAACAGG